CGAGUAUAUCUAUUGGUGUUAA
rnacentral:siRNA from 1 species